AUCCUUCCCUUGCGGAGUUUCUCCUGUGAGCCUAGAUCUUCAGAGACAGGAAGUAAAAAAUUUGCUCUUGGCUUUUAGUACCAGCAAAGAAGAAUCCUUUCCACUGUGGCUCAGAACAAGCUGGUCAGACAGCACAAAGCUCUUUUGGAUGAGAAACUUCUGGAUCUUUCUGAUUCCUGCCUGUUAGAAUUGAUAACUUGAAUUUCCAGUAGAUGAAUUCCUGGCCACUUCAGCAAGGGGCUGGAAGACACAGUCUGUAACAGAGUUCUGUUCCUCAAUGCUGGAAUGUGAAAACUGCGAUAAGAAGCCAUCGUCUGUCUUCACUUUUGUGUAGGCUGAGCAUUUACUGCAAAAGACUGCAGUGGCUUUUCCAAGUCUUGCUUCUUUCAAAAUGUCUAUCUGCACCAACCCCUACACACAUUGGCAGUUCCAUUGCUCAGGUCCUGCUGACCUGCAGGCAUAGAGUUCAGUCCUCAGCCAGCACAACAGUCAGGCACUGAUGUUCCCAAUGCCACUCUUCUGCUGGGAAGAAAACUGAGCUUGGUGGAAAAACAACAUGCCCAGAAAAGGAACCUGCCCUUUCUCCUAUUCCGAAAACAAGAAAGCUGUGGAUUUGUUUCAUCAGCAUAACCUAAAAACAGCUGACAUUGUGUCUUUGAAUACCAAGGCCAAGGGGCAGAGGAUUCUAUGCAAAGAAGGAACACGCUAGCAGAGGAUGCUACAACUUGCAUUUUCUUACUAUCAGGUUGCCGUCUCCCAAACAAAAUGUCUUUCUAGCAUUUAAAAAGCUAAAGACUGUAAUAUGAAAGGUUACAAAGCAGUAAAGAGAAGUGACAGAAAAACCCCUCUGACAAUCCUGCAUACAACAUUCUGGCUAACUGAUUAGGUGAUGAAUCCAGUCUGAUGUACUCAAACUUAUGGACUUCUGUUAACUCCUAGGGGACAGAAGCAUUUCAGCUUUCUUUAGCAAUUCGUCUAAAACGUGAGCAGGAAAUUCAGCUCCAGCCUGGAAUGCAAAAGGCAAAUUUCCUUUGAAGCCAAGUCUCCUCUCCAAAUGCAGCCCUGAGAACUACUUUUUUGCAUUUUUGCGGCCUAUUGCAUCACAUAUUACUUACUGCUUUGAAAGCAUGUUAAUAUUUCAGAGACACGCUCGAGUGUAUUUGCCUAUGUAUCAGUGAUAGACCACUUAAAGAUCUUUUUCUUUUUUUAAAUCUCAUUGUUCAAGUUCCUUCUACCUUGAUUUUAUCACUUGUUGAUUUUUUUGUUUUUGUGUCAUAGAUAUAAACGCAGUUGUCGUUGGUCAAUCUUUACUUUGGGAUGCACACAAUGAAAAAGUAAGAAUUUUUUUCCCAAAAGCACUGAUCCAAUAAGAAUAAAGCAUCUUCAUCAUUGUUCAUCUGAGGAGGUUAUGCCAGGAAAGACAGUUCUAGUUUGCUGAGAAGCUCCCUUCAGCAUAAGCAAAUGAAGAAACACAAAUUGGGCCCCAUUCUAUCUUCAGGCCUUUUGUGCCUUAUGCCUGCCUGACUUGUAUCCAAAUAUUUAUUUUCACUGUGCUGCUGGUCAGGGUGUCUGCUGUUCCUAUCAGUUAUGAAGACUUGCAUGCCUGCGCAGCAUUACUCUGAGAAUGAACAAGGCAUUUGAAUAAACAAUAUUAAAACAUGGAUUUUCAAUCCUCUACAAAGGCAUCUGUAGUAAUCAUGCACACAAUUAAGUGAGCCAUAAAAUAAGAUUACUAUUGGAUAUCAAUGCCGCUUUUUAAAGUGUAUCUGUCCCCAAAAGGGGAAAAUAUACCUAUUUGAUCUCUUAUGAUAUUUUCAUUUUACUUUGCUGAGCAGCAUUGGUGGAACUCAUGCAUGUGAUUAAAAUAAACUUUACUGACAAAGUAUUUAAUAUAAAAGCAGUGUUUUUAAAAUAUAUAGCCUUCUACCAUAACAAGCAGAGCAAAAGAACUGUUCUUAAUGUUUGAUUUGGAGAUUCUGAAUUCAUGAAUGUAUGAAAAGAGGACACAAGCCCCUCACAGACUAAUCGGAGCUAGAGGUCAUGCCAUAAGUUAUUGAGAAGAGUUUUCUAGAGGUGUAAUAUGGUUUUGAAUUUGACCUAUGACUUCUGAGUUGUUACCCAUGACCCCAAAUAAUCCAACUUCAGCUUCUUGAAGGCUAUUAGGAGUUGGAGGUCAUGCCAUAUGUUUCCACAUUUACAAGGUAAAGUGUUAGGGCAAGUAACAGACCACUCAAAAAAUCUGUAGAAAAUAACCUGGUGAACAAAGCAUUGCUUGAUGCUUC